rnacentral:rRNA from 1 species
UACGGAGGGUGCAAGCGUUAAUCGGAAUUACUGGGCGUAAAGCGCACGUAGGUGGUUUUUCUAAGUCAGCUGUGAAAUCCCCGGGCUCAACCUGGGACUUGCAGUUGAAACUGGAAAGCUAGAGUAGGGUAGAGGGGUGUGGAAUUCCAGGUGUAGGCGGUGAAAUGCGUAGAUAUCUGGAGGAACAUCAGUGGCGAAGGCGACACCCUGGACUCAUACUGACACUGAGGUGCGAAAGCGUGGGGAGCAAACAGG